AAGCCCUGGUGAACGUCAGCAGUAACUCUAACUGUGAAACUUAGAGCAGUUGUAAAAUUUAGCUAUAUGCUGGAAUGACUAGUAUUGGGCUGUAAGCCCUUUUAUAAAUUUCAUGGUACCGAGGAGGUGAAAAUCUAUGAAUAUAGUUGAUCAGCAGGAAAGACAUUUUAGUAAAAGGAAAGAUUUGUUUAAUUAUUUUGUUGGAUUUGUUGAGGGUGAGGGUUGUUUUUCUGUAUCGAUUAAACCGCACAGUCAAAUGAAAUUUGGUUGGGUGGUUGAUCCGAUGUUUUCUAUUUACCAACAUAAGAAUAAUCGUAAAAUUUUGGAAUUAUUCCAAAAUGAAAUGCAUUGUGGAUAUAUUGUUGAAAAACAAGGUACUCCCGAUGUUUUGGUUUAUUUAGUUGAUAAUAGAAGAACUUUAGAAGAAAAAAUAAUCCCAUUUUUUAACAAACAUAAACUUCUGGGAACAAAAGCGAAUGAUUUUUUGAAUUUUUCGAAAAUAGUAUCGUUAAUGGGAGAGAAGAAGCAUUUAGAAAAAGAUGGUUUAAUAGAAAUUAUUAAAUUGGCUUUUGAAAUGAACCAGCAAGGUAAAGGCAGAAAAUAUACUGCCGAACAAAUUAUUACUAGCUUAAAUGAAUCCUCAGAGACUACAUGCUAAAAUUUAAAUUUCUAAUAUCAAAUUUCUAAUUUCUAAAAUUUAGAAAAAUGAUUUUGGAUUUUUAUCUAUGAUAUAGUCCAAGCUUGGUGGAGACAUCAAGAGUUUAUAUUUAUCGCUAGAUAUAAGAUUAAUACAGAGUCUAAGGUAGCGAAGUCCUUUGUCGGGUAAGUUCCGACGCGUAUGAAAGGUUUAACGACCGUGAAACUGUCUUGACCAUCUAUCCAGUGAAAUUGAAAGAGCGGUGAAGAUGCCGUUUAAUUACUGUAGGACAAAAAGACCCCAUGAAGCUUUACUGGAUCUUUACAUUGAUAAGAAUUUGGUGAUUGUCGAGCGUAGGAGGGACCCCGAUAUUUAUCGGGGGCCAAUGGAACACCUCCCUUUGCCAUGUUUGAAUCUUACCUACUCCGAUGAAUCUCGGAGAGGGACAGUGUAUGGUUGCUAGUUUGCCUGGGGCAGGCACCUGCAAAAGAGUAACGCGGGUACACAAAGGUCAACUUAGUCCGGCUAGAAAUCGGACUGUAAGCGCAAAAGCAUAAGUUGGCUUGACUGUGAGACAUACUAGUCGAACCCUCCGAUUUGGAGGGGUUCCAACCAAUUUUGAGUUUGGAAUCAGGGUCGAAAGACGGUUUUAGUGAUCCUCGUGACCUAUUUGGUAUAGGCACGGGCUUACUGGAUAAAAGGUACUCUGGGGAUAACAGGCUGGUCGCAUCCGAUAGUUCAUAUUGACGAUGCGGUUCGGCACCUNNCGAUGUCGACUUGGCGCAUCCUGGCCCUGAAGAAGGGGCCAAGGGUUGGUCUGUUCGCCCAUUAAAGCGCUGCGUUAGUUGGGUUCAGAGCGUCGCGAGACAGCUCGGUCUCUAUCCACAGUAAUCGUUCGAUUCUUGAGGGGAUUCGUCUACAGUACGAGAGGACCUAGACGAGGGAACCACUAGUGUGCCAGUUGUCCUGUCAAGGGCAGCGCUGGGUAGCUACGUUCCUAUUAGAUAACUGCUGAAAGCAUCUCAAGCAGGAAGCUGACUCCAAGAUUAGGAAUCGUGGUCCGAAGCAAUUCGGACGAGAGAUCGCCGGGAGACUACCGGUUAAUACGCUACAUGUGUAAGACCUGUGAAGGUUUAAGCUAAGUAGUGGAAAGAUCGAAAGAAUUUUUCAAU
rnacentral:rRNA from 1 species